rnacentral:rRNA from 9 species
UAGUAAUGGGAAAACACUGAUAUUACCUUACUAAAGUGCCGUCCAAAUCUGGUGCCAGCAGACGCGGUAAGACCAGAGGCGCAAACGUUAAUCUUCAUAAACAGGCGUAAAGGGUUUGUAGGCGGCUUGUAUUUUUACAGGCUAGAAUCAAAUAGAGGUAACUUAAAGAAUAAUUAGAGUAGGGAUUAAAUCCAAAGAUCCUAAGGAGAAUACUAAAGGCGAAAGCAUUAUACCAAUACUGAUUGACGCUGAGAAACGAAAGUGAGGGUAGGGAACAGGAUUAGAGACCCUGAAACUCCUCACUGUCAACGAUGAAUGGUAGCUCCUAGUUUUUAAAGCCAGAGGCGCAGUAAACACGAUAACCAUUCCGCCUUGUUAGUAAAACUGCAAAGUUGAAAACAAAAAAAUUUGCCGGAUUUGGAGCAAACGAAGUGAAGCAU